rnacentral:rRNA from 1 species
UACGUAGGGUGCAAGCGUUGUCCGGAAUUAUUGGGCGUAAAGAGCUCGUAGGCGGUUUGUCGCGUCUGAUGUGAAAACCGGAGGCUCAACCUCCGGCCUGCAGUGGGUACGGGCAGACUAGAGUGCGGUAGGGGAGAUUGGAAUUCCUGGUGUAGCGGUGGAAUGCGCAGAUAUCAGGAGGAACACCGAUGGCGAAGGCAGUUCUCUGGGCCGUAACUGACGCUGAGGAGCGAAAGCGUGGGGAGCAAACAGG